CAUCUGUCUGUCUGUCUGUCUUUACCUCUUUUCUCUUUCCUCCCUUCCCUCCCUUUCUAAUGAAACAUCUCACUUAAGCUCUGUCUGGCGUGUUUGUCCCUCCUCAUCUGUCAUGGAAUCCAAGGGACUGAAGAGAUCACAGCCCCACUGAUGUGCCUCUCGGAAGGAAACGGGUGGGUCUCUCCUCAUCCACGUAGCCAUGAGAGCUGGGAAGAUGGCUCAGCGGGGAAGACUCUUGACGCUCUGGAGCGAAGGCUGGAUUCCAGGUCUCAUGAGCCCAGGCUGAAAUUGAGAUUCUGGCCAGCAUAGCAGAGUGAAGAUGGAGGUUUCCAUUCCCCGCAGUUCCCACCGCCCUUUAGCUCCAAAUAAAUACACAGAGACAUAUUAAUUAUUAAAUUGUUGGCCAAUAUCUAGGGCAUCUUAUUGACUAACUCCAUCUAUUUGCAAUACAAAGUGAAGAUAAGUAGGAGCCAUCUCGCUCUGUCUUAAUUAUUAACCCAUUUCCAUAAAUCUAUGUAUUUCCACACGGUCUUGGCUUGCCAGAGAAUGUCUGGACCUGUUACUCCUUUCACAGCUACAUGGCAUCUCUUCUGUGGUCUCUCUCUCUCUCUCUCUCUCUCUCUGUCUCUCUCUCUCUUUCUCUCUCUCUCUCUCUCUCUCUCUCUGCCUACAUUCCGAAGAAUUCUCAUCUCUUAGCCCCGCCUCUACUGGCCAAACGUGUUUUAUUCACCAACCAAUAAGAGAAACAUAUAUACAGAAGGGCAUCCCCCAUCAGAAGAGCCGC